AUUGAACGCUGGCGGCAUGCCUUACACAUGCAAGUCGAACGGCAGCACGGGAGCAAUCCUGGUGGCGAGUGGCGAACGGGUGAGUAAUAUAUCGGAACGUGCCCAGUCGUGGGGGAUAACGUAGCGAAAGCUACGCUAAUACCGCAUACGAUCUAUGGAUGAAAGCGGGGGAUCGCAAGACCUCGCGCGAUUGGAGCGGCCGAUAUCAGAUUAGGUAGUUGGUGAGGUAAAGGCUCACCAAGCCGACGAUCUGUAGCUGGUCUGAGAGGACGACCAGCCACACUGGGACUGAGACACGGCCCAGACUCCUACGGGAGGCAGCAGUGGGGAAUUUUGGACAAUGGNGCAAGCCUGAUCCAGC
rnacentral:rRNA from 1 species